GGCGGACGGGUGAGUAACGCGUGGGAAUCUACCCAAUGGGGGACAACUACCGGAAACGGUAGCUAAUACCGCAUACGCCCUAUGGGGGAAAGGCUUCGGCCGCUAUUGGAUGAGCCCGCGUCAGAUUAGCUAGUUGGUAGGGUAAAGGCCUACCAAGGCAACGAUCUGUAGCUGGUCUGAGAGGACGAACAGCCACACUGGGACUGAGACACGGCCCAGACUCCUACGGGAGGCAGCAGUGGGGAAUAUUGGACAAUGGGCGAAAGCCUGAUCCAGCAAUGCCGCGUGUGUGAAGAAGGCCUGCGGGUUGUAAAGCACUUUCAGUUGGGAAGAUGAUGACGUUACCAACAGAAGAAGCACCGGCUAAAUCCGUGCCAGCAGCCGCGGUAAUACGGAUGGUGCGAGCGUUAAUCGGAAUUACUGGGCGUAAAGCGCGC
rnacentral:rRNA from 1 species